rnacentral:RNase_P_RNA from 1 species
GAAGCUGACCAGACAGUCGCCGCUUCGUCGUCGUCCCUUUCGGGGGAGACGGGCGGAGGGGAGGAAAGUCCGGGCUCCACAGGGCAGGGUGCCAGGUAACGCCUGGGGGGGAAACCCACGACCAGUGCAACAGAGAGCAAACCGCCGAUGGCCCGCGUAAGCGGGAUCAGGUAAGGGUGAAAGGGUGCGGUAAGAGCGCACCGCGCGGCUGGU